rnacentral:rRNA from 1 species
GACGAACGCUGGCGGUGUGCUUCACACAUGCAAGUCGAACGAGGUAGCAAUACCUAGUGGCGGACGGGUGAGUAACGCGUGGGAAUCUGCCCAUAGGUGGGGGAUAACUAGCCGAAAGGUUAGCUAAUACCGCAUAUGCCGAAAGGUAAAAGGAGUAAUCCGCCUUUGGAUGAGCCCGCGUCCGAUUAGCUAGUUGGUAGAGUAAAAAGCCUACCAAGGCGACGAUCGGUAGCUGGUCUGAGAGGAUGAUCAGCCACAAUGGGACGUGAGACACGGCCCCAUACUCCUACGGGAGGGCAGCAGU